rnacentral:rRNA from 1 species
UACAUGUGGGGCAAGCGUUGUUCGGAAUUACUGGGCAUAAAGGGUGCGUAGGUGGCUUGUUAAGUCAGGGGUGAAAGUUUUCGGCCCAGCCGGAAAAUGGCCUUUGAUACUGGCGAGCUUGAGUGCGUGAGGGGUAACCGGAACGAGCAGUGUAGCGGUGAAAUGCGUAGAUAUUGCUCGGAAGGCCAACGGCGAAGGCGACUUACUGGACACAUAUUGACGCUGAGGUGCGAAAGCGUGGGGAGCAAACAGG